CAGCCGCCGCGGGAAUACGUAGGUGGCAAGCGUUGUCCGGAAUUAUUGGGCGUAAAGCGCGCGCAGGCGGCUUCCCAAGUCCCUCUUAAAAGUGCGGGGCUUAACCCCGUGAUGGGAAGGAAACUGGGAAGCUGGAGUAUCGGAGAGGAAAGUGGAAUUCCUAGUGUAGCGGUGAAAUGCGUAGAGAUUAGGAAGAACACCGGUGGCGAAGGCGACUUUCUGGACGAAAACUGACGCUGAGGCGCGAAAGCGUGGGGAGCAAACAGGAUUAGAUACCCCCGUAGUCCCUGUCUCUUAUACA
rnacentral:rRNA from 1 species